UAACAGUCGACUCAGAGCUGGUUCGGACAAGGGGAAUCUGACUAUUUAAUUAAAACAAAGAAUUGUGAUGGUCCCUAUGGAUGUUGACGCAAUGUGAUUUUUUCCCAAUGCUCUGAAUGUUAAAGUGAAGAAAUUAUACCAAGCACGAGUAAACGACGGGAGUAAAUAUGACUCUCUUAAGGUAGCCAAAUGCCUCAUCAUCUAAUUAGUGAUGCACAUGAAUGGAUUAACUAGAUUCCCACUAUCCUUAUCUAUUUUCUAGCGAAACCACGACCAAGGAAAUGGACUUGGCAUAAUCAAUAGGGAAAGAAGACCUUGUUGAGAUUGACUCUAGUACGACUUUGUGAAAUGACUUGAGAGGUGUAGAAUAAGUGGGAUUCUUUUUCAGCACAAAUGAAAUACAACUACUUUUAACGUUAUUUUACUUAUUAUGUGGGGUGGAGAGGGGCAUUUGUUAGAUUAUGAAAGAUUGUGCUCGUUUUACCAUUGACAAUACCCUUGUCACCCAACCAUAGGCCGAAGCCACCCUCCAAGCACCUUGACCUUGACAGAGAAUAAUAUUGGUAGUAAUCAAUAUCCAAGCAAGGCUAAUACACAAAGCAAGAAUAGAAACCAAAGAUGAUCAGAUAGUCCCACCCAGAAACUGGUGCAACACCUUCCCCAGAAACUUGUGCACAACUAGCUCUCUGCAAUUCUGAGAAUGUGUCAAAUGAGAGACUUGCACCCUAUAUUUAUAGUGGUUCUAGCAGACUUACUUGGGCCGACUUCUCCUUUUGGGUACUAAUUAAUUCAUAUUAAUUAUAUUUCUGCAGCCGACAUCUCGUCUAGGGUUUCCUUUACUUCUUUGCUUCCUUCUAGAAUAUUCUAAUCUCGUCAUAGGUCACAAUAGAGGUUCAUACCUUCUGAAGCUACCAUAAUAUCAACACUCCCUCCUAGCUAGGGAGGUAUGGUCUUGAGCACAAACAGACCAUUCAACUGGUAGUAUCAUGAGCACCGUCAUUAUUAUCCAACUGGGUAAUCUCCUAUGACAAUUGGUACAAUAUCAAUUGAUAGAACACAACUAUGUAUAUCCACGAUAUUACACAAGUACUCAAAUUGUGGCACAUAGUCACAAUCAGUGGAACAUAUCCACCACAGUAGUAUAUCUCUACUGUCUGGAGACAGGCAGUCUCCAUAACAAUCAUCUGAUGACAACCUGCAUAGAAAAUA
rnacentral:ncRNA from 1 species